rnacentral:misc_RNA from 1 species
UCCGGCUUAUCACUGGCAGUUUCUUUAGAGUGCUCAACUAAAUGGUAGCAACUAAAGACGAGGGUUGCGCUCGUUGCGGGACUUAACCCAACAUCUCACGACACGAGCUGACGACAGCCAUGCAGCACCUGUGUCCACGCCCCUUGCGGGGAGGAACCCGUCUCCGGGAACCGUCGUGGCAUGUCAAGGGCUGGUAAGGUUCUGCGCGUUGCUUCGAAUUAAACCACAUGCUCCGCUGCUUGUGCGGGCCCCCGUCAAUUCCUUUGAGUUUCAAUCUUGCGAUCGUACUCCCCAGGUGGAUCACUUAACGCUUUCGCUUGGACACGUACUGUAAUAUCGCACAUGUCGAGUGAUCAUAGUUUAGGGCGUGGACUAC